AGAACAGAUGUACAUGGAAAUGGUAUGCCUUGUUUUAAUGUGCAACUCAUUCCUAUCUGCAAAGAAUUAAUGGUUUUUCCAGAUGAAUUUUCUUCUUCUUUUAUGUGAAUUUAUUUUGUUAUUAUAAUUAUACUCCAUUUAAAACCAUUAUACAGUACCAACAGCAUAGCACUUUCUUUGCAUUAUAAAUCAAAAUUUCCGCAGCUUCGAUUUUGUUUAAUGCCAUCACUUUGCAUAAAUUUAACUGUUAUUUUAGUGAUGUAAUUUGCUGGGUUUUGUAGGUUGGAUUUCAAAGAUUUUUUG
rnacentral:misc_RNA from 1 species